AGUGAACGCUGGCGGUAGGCCUAACACAUGCAAGUCGAACGGCAGCACAGUAAGAGCUUGCUCUUACGGGUGGCGAGUGGCGGACGGGUGAGGAAUACAUCGGACUCUACUUUUUCGUGGGGAUACCGUAGGGAAACUUACGCUAAUACCGCAUACGACUUACGGGUGAAAGCAGGGGAUCUUCGGACCUUGCGCGAUUGAAUGAGCCGAUGUCGGAUUAGCUAGUUGGCGGGGUAAAGGCCCACCAAGGCGACGAUCCGUAGCUGGUCUGAGAGGAGGAUCAGCCACACUGGAACUGGGACACGGUCCAGACUCCUACGGGAGGCAGCAGUGGGGAAUAUUGGACAAUGGGCGCAAGCCUGAUCCAGCCAUACCGCGUGGGUGAAGAAGGCCUUCGGGUUGUAAAGCCCUUUUGUUGGGAAAGAAAAGCAGCAGGUUAAUACCCCGCUGUUCUGACGGUACCCAAAGAAUAAGCACCGGCUAACUUCGUG
rnacentral:rRNA from 1 species